rnacentral:lncRNA from 1 species
AAAAGGGGUGUUGGGUCGGCUGGGCCGAGCCCAACCCAUUUCUUCUUCUUUCUCUUCUCCCUCCCUCCCGAUUUUUCUUCUCCUCCCACCCGAUUUUCUUCUCUCUACACCCAGCAGACUUCCGGCCGUCCUCCCGCCGCCGUCCGACCUCCGUUCGCCGCCGGACCGGUCCCGUUCGGUCGGUCUCCCUCCCAGCUUCCAUUCUAGGCCGGUAGCAGCCCCCCUAGCGCCGCCGUGAGUGAGCGGUGCCGCUCGUAAGGUCCGACUGUCCAAACCUUCCCUUCGCCGGAACUUCCUCCUCCGGCCACCAAUCCGGGCAAGCUUGGUAUGGUUUUGUAGCCCUCCAACCCAGCAACCUUGCCCUAAAAGGACUCACUCCCUCUUGAGCUAGGUAAGGAGAAAUUUGAGGUGGAAGUUUUAUGGUGUUUUUGAUGUUUUUAGUCGAUUGCCCUAGUUAGGCUUGGAAUUGGUGUUUGUGCUAGUUAUGAAAGUUGUAGAGGAGAUUGAGAGGAAGAUUCUGUUAAAAUUUGGUAGCUUUUGCAGGUUGCCGGAGUUGGUCGCCGGCCGCCGCUGCCGCAUUAUGGUGUGACGUGAGCGUUGGACGUAAACGUAGUAGCCCUAUAUGAGUGUUUAAUUCAUAUAGGGGGUAUGGACACAUAUUUAUACACCCGUCUGUCCACCUUGAUGGCGUAGUGUAGCACCGCAUUAAGGCGUGACGUGAGCGUUGGACGCGAGCGUAGUAGCCCUAUAUAAACCCAUGAAUUUAUAUAGGGAGUAUGGACAAGUGUAAAUACAUACAUAUAUUAUAGAGUCUGAGAGGCUCGAUAUUUUAUGGGAUAAAGGUUUUAUCGCUUGCGGCAUGCAUUCGAUUUUUCCUUAGAAAUUAAUUUGGGGAAACAUAAAUAUUUUAUUUAUUAAUUUAUUUUUGUCCACUCACUCUAACGUUAUUAAAUGUUUUCCCCUGGGCCCUUCGUUUUAAAUUGCCCAGUCUGCAGAGUUCGGGUUGGAUCUA